CAUGAAGCUGGAAUCGCUAGUAAUCGCGGAUCAGAAUGCCGCGGUGAAUACGUUCCCGGGUCUUGUACACACCGCCCGUCACACCAUGGGAGUCGGAAAUGCCCGAAGUCUGUGACCCAACCUGAGAGGGAGGGAGCAGCCGAAGGCAGGUCUGAUGACUGGGGUGAAGUCGUAACAAGGUAGC
rnacentral:rRNA from 1 species